UUUUAUAUAUAUAUUUUUUUAUCUACAUUUCACCUCUGACAUUGUACACAACACGAAAGCACAGGAAACCAAAAAAAUCAUAAUGAGGUAGAUACAUAACACUUACAGAUGGAGGAGACUAAAGAGUUUAAAUUUGGCUUAAUACUGUGGUCACCAAUGUAUGCAUUUUCAACACAGCAGCAAGCAUUGAUUCAUGGGGCAAGAAGCCCAAUGAUCUCAAAUCCAAAAAUAAGCCCCUUUAAAAAAAAAAUACCUGCUUCCAAAUGGAAAGAAAUUUUUUUUUCUUUGAAAAAUCAGGGAUUCAGAUGUGUUCAAUUGCAAACUCUGGUGAAAUAAAGUUUUUGUUUUUGUUUUUGUACCCAGCGGGGGGGAAUGUAAUCUUCACCUAUGUAAUUAGGAGUAACCUGUCCCAUAGGGUACUUCUUUGUUUUCCUGCUGGAGGGGUUGGGGCAACCUUAGGAGCUCCGUGGCCAGAUGUUAAUAAAGGAGCAGGGUUUCUUCCUUUUCCCUAAAGUAACCUCCACCUCUGCAGCCACUAUACCAGGGACCACUAGCCUUGGAGGGCCCUUGAAACAUGCCUGGAAAUGGCUGGAAAUCAGCUGAGCUGUGAAGUCCCUGGCACGACUUUACCUUUCUAGGACCAUCUGCUCUCCCAGUGGGUGAGCACCAACUGGUUUGGAACAUUGGGAUCAUCCCUUUCCCUGUGUCAUUUCCACUGUCAGCCUUCCAAUGGAGAGCUGAAAAGAUCACCGAGAAGGCCAUGUUCAGCCUCAAUUUUAACUGUAAAUGCAUUUUCACUGUAAAAUGCAGUGUCAGGCAGUGGUAUCUGCCACAGAGACCAAUGUCCCCCUAGUCUGAUGUCUAGGAUGAAAGGAGAAUGACAAGAGAAGGGACCAGGAGAGCAACUUGGCUGGUGGAGGCAGCAGCUGGGAGAACAGAGCCAUGAAAUGACCAACCAAGGAAGGCUCAGCCCUGGCCGGUGCAGAUGGACCAUGGACACCGAAGGGGCUCCAACUAGAAAGCGAAGGAGUAACUUGGGUUUGUCACCAGUGACUCGAAGAGGAGACCCUAGAGAAAAACAUGGAGGAAACAAGACUCAGAGAUGCUGAUGGAACUAAAAGUGGACCUGAACCAAACUCCUUGGAUUGUUUAACUCUGGACAUGAUCCUGCGUUUGGUAGGCUUGGCUCCACUGAGAAAGAGCUGGGAUCAGCUGCAGGCCAGGUCAUCCUCAGGAAAGAGGGCAGACAGAGGGGUCCUGGUGGAAUGCAUGCUGCUGCUCAGAACAGAAGGGCUGCUGACGAAGAUCAGAUACAAGGGAAAAGGGAAGGAAAGAUUCCCAGCUAGACACCAGGGUCUCCCUCAGGAGCCAGGGCCACACCUUGUAAAGGCAUAUGCAUUUACUAAAGGAAGAGAGGGCAGGGCACCUGUCCUUGACACUGGGCGGCUGGACCGGUGGAGAGACUGAGGCCACUGCUCAGAGGCGUGUGGAGUGACAGCUUCUGGGAGCUGAUGAUGUGUUGGCGGAAGCAUGCAGCAACAGUGGCAUCCA